rnacentral:rRNA from 1 species
UACGUAGGGUGCGAGCGUUAAUCGGAAUUACUGGGCGUAAAGCGUGCGCAGGCGGUUCGUCGUGUCCGAUGUGAAAGCCCCGGGCUCAACCUGGGAAUGGCAUUGGAAACUGGCGGACUCGAGUGUGGAAGAGGGUCGUGGAAUUCCCAGUGUAGAGGUGAAAUUCGUAGAUAUUGGGAAGAACACCGGUGGCGAAGGCGGCGACCUGGUCCUUGACUGACGCUGAGGCGCGAAAGCGUGGGGAGCAAACAGG